rnacentral:lncRNA from 1 species
CUACCUGAAACACAUAACACAUAACACGGUAAGCAUAAAAGCUUUGUGAGUUCCCCAAAAUACCACACACAUCACAUUAGCCACUCGAGGCUAUAACUCUAUUAGACCCUCUAGUCAAUGUGUCUCAGUGGGACUCUCUGGUCCCACAACUCAUAUGGACCCUCCGGUCCCUCAACUCAGCAUCACAAUAUAAUACUCAUAAAGCAUAACACAAGUAAAUAGCAGGAUAUCUCAUUACACAGUUCAUGCACAUAAGAGCCUCUGGUCACACAUAAGGUUUACCACUCAAGGUAAGUAUAGUGAGAAGACUCACCUCGUAAGCUAAUGAAUGAAAAUCUCACAAUUGGGAUCGUGAUCUCUACUCCCGGGUCUAGCUCCUGCCUAACACAUAAUAAUUAUCCCUAAUUAAUAUUGGCCCUCAAGAAGCUAGACUAAUCCUUCUACAACUCACAGAAGGGUAAAAGACCAUUUUACCCCUCCAAUGCUCAAUAGUCCUCAAUCUUGACCAAAACCUAAAAGUCAACAAAAGUCAACAGCGGGAGUACGUGGCGCAUACCAGCUCUAUAUGCAGGGCGUACUCCGUGGCUAACCAAAAACGGGGGACUCGACCCCCUACGCUGCGCAUACUGGGAUUAGGUCCGGUGUAAGUCCCAGUUUCACACUUCUCGUGGUUUUUGGUCUGAAUCAGCUAAGACAAAGGCUCAAAUCCCAGAUCUAGUUACUCUAAUGCCUCUUAAUCCAUAAAGUCAUUGACUUUAAGCCUAUGCAUGGCUGUAAAGGUCACCAACCCCCAAAUCAUGCCAUUUCCUUCCUUAAAAGACUCUUAACUCAUGCAUGGUCAACUCUUAAUGACCAAGAUUAGAUAUUUAUGGCUCAAAAACACAAAAUAAGCCAACAUGGGACAGAUCUCGGGUUCUAGGGUCUUAUCAACUCAUAAAGCCAUCAACUUUGGGGACAAAAACCCUAAAUCACCCCACACAUGAACACAACAAAAGAGUAGGAAAGCUCGGAGCUUUUUACCUCCAAAUGAAGCCUCUCUCACUGCUAAGCUCAGAUCCAGGAGCUUGGGCUCUAACUCCUUCUUCUCCAAAGCUUCCUUUCCACUUCAAAAGCUCAAGAACACACCCACAAGCUCUCAAAGGCACUCUCUUGCUACAAGAACGAGAUUUAGGGUUUUGGGGAAGUUAAGUCUCUGGAAAGGGUGGCCACAAGGAGGCCAUAACACUCUUUAAAUAGGGGACUCACUCAAUAUUAGGGUUACAAAUUGGGCUUGGUAUCCCCCGCGCACACCUUGGUACGCCCGACAUACUAGGCGACCCUCCGCGAUCAAGCACGCGUACGCAUACGCUGAGCGUACACUCUAGUACGCCCCGCGUACUUGUCUACCACCCUUUUCUUAUCAAGGACCAACAUGGACAAUUGAUCAAAGAUUAGGGUUCACAAGGUAUACCUGGGUUUUUGGAUGUUACAAUUCUCCCCACUAGAAUUAGACUUCUCCCAUGAAGUCAUGCUCCGCAAAAAACUUUGGAUGUUGCUCCCGCAUCUCAGACUCUGAUUCCUAAGUCGUCUCGGUCUCUCGGACCCUCUUCGAUGUUGCCAUUGUACUUAGACCACAGGCACCUCCUUGGUCCUCAGAACCUUCACCUUUCGAUCCAGAAUCACAAUCGGUCUUUCGAUAUAAUUCAGGACCGCAUCCACCUGAAUAUCCGCUAGUGGUACCACUGUCGUCUCAUCGGCCACACACUUCCUCAACUGGGAUACGUGGAAGGUGUUAUGGAUCUGACUCAACUCCUUAGGCAGCUCCAAACGGUAUGCUACCUUGCCCACUCUCACGGUCAACAUGAAAGGACCAAUGUAUCGGGGCCCCAGCUUGUCCCUCUUCCUGAAUCGGAUCACUCCUUUCCAGGGAGAUACCUUCAGGAGUACAAAGUCUCCAACCUGGAACUCGAGCUCGGGACGCCGCCUAUCCGCGUAACUCAUCUGGCAGAUCUGGGUUGUCAGUAACCUCUAUCUGACUUGUUGUAUCUGCUCAGUCGUCUUUAGCACUAUCUCGGUUCUACCCAUCACUCGCUGCCCCACCUCUCCCCAACAGAUGGGGGUCCGACACCUCCUCCCAUAUAAAAGCUCAAAGGGAGGCAUACCAAUACUCGAAUGGUGGCUGUUGUUGUAUGAAAACUCAGCCAAAGGUAGGUAUGUGUCCCAACUUCCGCCGAAGUCCAUAACACAUGCUCGAAGCAUGUCCUCGAGCGUCUGUAUCGUCUGCUCACUCUGUCCGUCUGACUGUGGGUGAUAAGUAGUACUGAAGUGCAAUCUCGUACCCAACUCCUCAUGAAACUUCUUCCAGAACCUGGAAGUGAAACGCACAUCUCUGUCUGACACGAUCAAGAUCGGCACUCCAUGCCGAGACACCACCUCUCUCAUGUAUAUCUCUGCCAACCUCUCUACAGAAGAGCUCUUACUGAUAGCAAGGAAAUGAGCGCUCUUCGUCAGCCGGUCCACAAUCACCCAAAUUGCAUCAGCACCCCUCCAGGUCCUCGGCAAUUUGGUGAUGAAAUCCAUAGAAAUCUGUUCCCACUUCCACUGGGGAACCUCUAACGGGUGCAACUUGCCAUUCAGACGCUGGUUCUCGGCCUUGACCCGACGACAGUUCAAGCACCUUUCUACAACCCACGCAACAUCCCUCUUCAUACAGAGCCAUCGGUAAUCUCUCUUCAGAUCCAAAUACAUCUUAGUGACCCCGGGAUGGAUCAAGAAUCUCGAUCUGUGCGCCUCCUCCAUCAAUAUGCUACGUUCCCCGCCCAUAAACGACACCCAAACCCGACCGUGAAAGGUCAUAAUCCCUCGACUAUCAGUAACAAACUCGGACACCUGCCCAAUCACCCGUUCUCUCUUGCGGUUCUCCGGUCUCACAGCCUCUAUCCAGGCCUCUCAAAUGGUAUCCAAUACCAGAGUCAUCACCGUCAUCCUCAUGCAUAUAUCUCGAAUCAGGGCACUCUACGCCCUGCGGCUCAGAGCAUCAGCUACCACGUUAUCCUUGCCCGGGUGGUACAGGAUUUCACAGUCAUAAUCCUUUACCACAUCCAACCAUCUCCUCUGACGCAUGUUCAGGUUGGGCUAAUCCGUCAGAUACUUCAAAUUCUUGUGGUCCGUGUAUAUGGUACACCGAACCCCAUACAAAUAAUGGCACCAUAUCUUGAGGGCGAACACUACUGCCCCCAACUCCAAAUCAUGGGUGGGAUACCUCGUCUCAUGAGGCGUCAGCUGCCUCGAUGCGUAUGUUAUCACAUGCCCUCUCUACAUAAGCACCGCACCCAACCCUGAUAUGUACGUGUCACGGUACACCACAAAAUCCUCCAUUCCCUCCGGAAGGGCUAACACCGGGGCUUCGCAUAAUCUCUAGCGAAGAGUCUCAGACGAGGUCUGCUGCUCGGGACCCCAAGUAAAAGCAGCGCCCUUCCGGGUCAAUUCGGUGAAGGGAACGACAAUCUUGGAGACAUCCCUGAUAAAUCUUCGAUAGUAACCGGCCAACCCUAAAAAGCUCAUGAUCUCGGUGGGGGAUCUCGACACCUCCCAUCUCAUAACAGCCUCAAUCUUGGUCGGAUCAACGAAUAUCCCAUUCUGAUUAACGAGGUGUCCCAAAAACUGGACCUCUCGUAACUAGAAAUCACACUUGGAGAAUUUGGCAUAGAGCCUCUCCGAUCUCAAUACCCCAAGAAUCUCCCUCAGAUGCUCCUCAUGUUGCUCCCUAGAUCUCGAAUACACCAGAAUAUCGUCGAUGAACACAAUUACCGAUUGAUCCAACAUCAGCCUGUAUACUUGGUUCAUGAGAUCCAUGAACGUUGUCGGUGCAUUGGUGAGCCCAAAAGGCAUCACAACAAACUCGUAAUGCCCAUAAUGAGUCCUAAACACCGUCUUCUGGAUAUCCUCAUCCCGCACCCUCAUCUGGUGAUAUCCCGACCUCAAGUCUAUCUUGGAGAACCAAGAAGCUCCCUGCAACUGAUCGAACAAAUCGUCGAUCCUUGGUAGUGGAUAACGGUUCUUGACCGUCAACUUGUUCAACUCCCGGUAAUCAAUGCACAUCCGGUGUGAACCAUCCUUUUUCUUGACAAAAAGGAUCGGCGCUCCCCACAGAGAGCUACCUGGUCGAAUGAAUCCCUUCCCCCAACAGGUCCUGAAGUUGCGAGGAUAACUCCUGCAUCUCCGGUGGCGCAAGGCGAUAAGGUACCUUGGCAAUAGGUGCCGCACCUGGAACCAGAUCGAUGCGAAACUCCACCUGCCUCUCGGGAGGCACACCUGGUAACUCCUCGGGGAAAACAUUCAGAAACUCUCGCAUUAUCGGAACCUCACCGACCGAACUCGGCCUCUCCGCGGCAGCUCGUGUAUCCAUCACAUAGGCUACAAACCCUCUACAGCCCUGCUGUAGACUCUGCCUCACUUUGGCAGCCGAGCAAAAUGCUGACCCAAAUUGGGUACCAUCGCCAUAUACCGUAAGUAAUCCCCCACUAGGGUCUUGUAUGGUCACCAACUGACGCUCACAGUCGAUAAUAGCUCCGAAUCGGCUCAACCAGUCCAUGCCCACGAUGAAACAGACAUCCCCUAUCGCAAUAGGUACCAAAUCUAUCGGGAAGUCAACACCGAAAAUCUCGAGUAUACAUCCUCGAAUCUCCUUAGUAGCAAAAACCACUCGCUCGUCAGCUAUAGAAACUCGCAGAGGUCGACCCAACGCCUCUCGUCAGAUACUGUUGUGCUGACUAAAAGCUAAUGACACUAAAGAUCAACUCGUACCUAAGUCAAAUAACACCAAAGCAGGUACAAAAUUCACAAGGAAAGUACAUAAACAUAUCAAAAUAUAAGCAUAAUAUCUCAAACUCAACAUAAGUAAAUAAAAGAAUACAUACCAGCCACGACAUCGGGCGCUACGCGGACCUCUUCCGCUGUCAACUGAAAGGCUCUCCCGCGAGCCCUCGGCGUCUCGGCCUUCACUGGCCGACACUCAGAAGCACGCACAGAAGUAGGUGCAGAUCCCUGCGUUGGUCCCUACACUAGCUGGGGGCACUCGGCCUUUUGGUGGGCGGUAUGGUUGCAAUGAGAGCAAACCAAGAAUCCCUUGAGGCAAUCCUUCGCCUUGUGCCCCUCCUUGCCAUAUUUGUAGCAGAUCGCCGUUCGGCAAGAACCCUCGUGACUCUUGCCGCACUAGCCACAAGUGCGGCCCUUCUGGCCCCCAACUCUGGAAUCAGUGGGCUUAGCCCGCUUCGUCGCCGGCUGCGACUGCACUGGCCUCCGGUCCCUCCCCCGUGACUCCUCCUCAUCCUCUCUAGUCUGAAGCUCAAGCUCAAUCUCUCUCAUCCUGGAAUUAGCCUGGAGCUCGGCCAAUGUACGGUACGACGAGUUCGCCACAAACUCUCGUAUGUCCCUCCUUAGUAUGCUCAGAUAUCGACUCACACGUGCCUGCUCAGUGGACACGUGUUCAGGGCAAAACAUCUCCCUCUCAUGGAACAUCCUCGAGAUCCCAGUCACUGACUCUGUCUUCUUCCUGAGAGACUGGAAAUCCUGCGCCAAACGGUCUCUCUCUACCGGGGGAACAUACUCGUCUAGAAACAUCUGAACAAACCUCUCCCAUGUCACUGUAGCAUGAUCUGCAGUGGUGAAGCCAGUUGUCGCAAACUUCCACUAGUCCUUCACUCCCAAGCGAAGCUGGUUCAAUGUAAAUCGAACUCUCAAAUGGUCGGGACAAGAACACGUAUAAAAACACCCCUUGAUAUCGGAGAUCCACCUCAUAGCAGUAAUCGGAUCUUGCGUCCCAUCAAACUAUGGUGGCUUCGUGUUGCUGAACUAUCAGAAAAGCAACGAGUCACCUCCCUGUGGCCUAGCAGCGGCGAGGGCUGCAGUGGGUGUGACAACAACAUCCUCAGUGAUAGCAGCGUAUCGCUCGUCAAAAGUCUAAAUCAAGGUGGUCUUGAUAGACCCAAACAUCUCCGGAAUCUCUGCUCGGAUAGCUGCAGCCACCUCCUCGUGGAUCAUCCUUCGUAUCUCCUCAUCGCUACUCUCACUGCUCCCAGGGUUGUGGCGUGUCCCCACCAUGAUGUCUCUGAAACACAACACAAUAUCAUCAGAGACUCGCUCGAGCAUACUCACACUCGAUCACCCGUCCCUGCUUUUUCCUUAGCAUCCCUAGGAUUCUUACUUGGGCCGCUCACUAAUCCGGUGCUUCCAGUAGUAUGGGCCCAAUACUACCUUCCACACCGCAUCAGUGUUCACCCUAAGUCCUCCUCCUUGGAUCUCAAUUUACAAGUACUUUAUGCCUCACAAGCUACUCUCACAUAAGUUCUCUCAUUGGCUCGCUCCUGCUAGGUACUCAUACUCAAGCUAAACACUAAUAGCAGAAAUCCCUAGGCUAAGGCAUCACAAAUCAGGCCUCCUUACUCCUAAUAUAUGAAGUACCUAGCCUACUCUCUAGCAUGCAUCAUAUCACAUAAAAUAUCUCAUAACACAAAAUGAGGGUAUUUUGGGAAAUCACCGCUCAGCCCUGGCUGAUUGUACACACUGCUCAGACAUGACUUCUCUUAAACUCUUUCUCAUUUUUAUAAAAAAAUCAUCUCUUUUUGAAAAUCUUUCUCAAAUCCUCAGGUUGAGUCCAAACACACCCCAGGGUGCAUCCGAAUCCCUCAAACCAAGGCUCUGAUACCAACUUGUAACAUUGUAAUUUUUCAACCAAAAUUUUCAUUUUUAACACAAUAAAAACUUUUAUCAUAAUUCUCAAAACACAUAUUUCUCAAAUGUCAACAAAAGAAAACAUAAUCCUAGAAUCAUAAAAACAAUCUCCUGCCGGUGUGUACAAUCAUGUUGGUGCCUUGCCGUGAUCCUCGGAACUACCUGAAACACAUAACACAUAACACGGUAAGCAUAAAAGCUUAGUGAGUUCCCUAAAAUACCACACACAACACAUUAGCCACUCGAGGCUAUAACUCAAUUAGACCCUCUGGUCAAUGUGUCUCUGUGGGACCCUCUGGCCCCACAACUCAUAUGGACCCUCCGGUCCCUCAACUCAGCAUCACAAUAUAAUACUCAUAAAGCAUAGCACAAGUAAAUAGCAGGAUAUUUCAUUACACAGUUCAUGCACAUAAGACCCUCUGGUUACACAUAAGGUUUACCACUCAAGGUAAGUAUAGUGAGAAGACUCGCCUCGUAAGCUAAUGAAUGAAAACCUCACAAUUGGGAUCGUGAUCUGUACUCCCGGGUCUAGCUCGGAUCCAAGAGCUUGGGCUCUAACUCCUUCUUCUCCAAAGCUUCAUUUCCACUUCAAAAGCUCAAGAACACACCCACAAGCUCUCAAAGGCACCCUCUUGCUACAAGAACGAGAUUUAGGGUUUUGGGGAGGUUGAGUCUCUGGAAAUGGUGGCCACAAGGAGACCAUAACACUCUUUAAAUAGGGGACUCACUCAAUAUUAGGGUUACAAAUUGGGCUUGGUACGCCCCGCGUACACCUUGGUACGCCCGACGUACUAGGCGACCCUCCGCGAUCAAGCACGCGCACGAGUACGCUGAGCAUACACUCUAGUAAGCCCCGCGUACCCGUCUACCACCCUUUUCUUAUCAAGGACCAAUAUGGACAAUUGCUCAAAGAUUAAGGUUCACAAGGUAUACCUGAGUUUUUGGAUGUUACAGUUGGCUUCUAGUAACGUUUUUGAAAUAUGUAGCCAAGAUCUAAUAACAAUAUUUUUUCUUCUUU